GACGAACGCUGGCGGCGUGCUUAACACAUGCAAGUCGAACGGAAAGGCCCUGCUUUUGUGGGGUGCUCGAGUGGCGAACGGGUGAGUAACACGUGAGUAACCUGCCCUUGACUUUGGGAUAACUUCAGGAAACUGGGGCUAAUACCGGAUAGGAGCUCCUGCUGCAUGGUGGGGGUUGGAAAGUUUCGGCGGUUGGGGAUGGACUCGCGGCUUACCAGCUUGUUGGUGGGGUAGUGGCUUACCAAGGCUUUGACGGGUAGCCGGCCUGAGAGGGUGACCGGCCACAUUGGGACUGAGAUACGGCCCAGACUCCUACGGGAGGCAGCAGUGGGGAAUAUUGCACAAUGGGCGGAAGCCUGAUGCAGCAACGCCGCGUGCGGGAUGACGGCCUUCGGGUUGUAAACCGCUUUCGCCUGUGACGAAGCGUGAGUGACGGUAAUGGGUAAAGAAGCACCGGCUAACUACGUGCCAGCAGCCGCGGUGAUACGUAGGGUGCGAGCGUUGUCCGGAUUUAUUGGGCGUAAAGGGCUCGUAGGUGGUUGAUCGCGUCGGAAGUGUAAUCUUGGGGCUUAACCCUGAGCGUGCUUUCGAUACGGGUUGACUUGAGGAAGGUAGGGGGAGAAUGGAAUUCCUGGUGGAGCGGUGGAAUGCGCAGAUAUCAGGAGGAACACCAGUGGCGAAGGCGGUUCUCUGGGCCUUUCCUGACGCUGAGGAGCGAAAGCGUGGGGAGCAAACAGGCUUAGAUACCCUGGUAGUCCACGCUGUAAACGGUGGGUACUAGGUGUGGGGUCCAUUCCACGGGUUCCGUGCCGUAGCUAACGCUUUAAGUACCCCGCCUGGGGAGUACGGCCGCAAGGCUAAAACUCAAAGGAAUUGACGGGGCCCCGCACAAGCGGCGGAGCAUGCGGAUUAAUUCGAUGCAACGCGUAGAACCUUACCUGGGUUUGACAUGGAUCGGGAGUGCUCAGAGAUGGGUGUGCCUCUUUUGGGGUCGGUUCACAGGUGGUGCAUGCCUGUCGUCAGCUCGUGUCGUGAGAUGUUGGGUUAAGUCCCGCAACGAGCGCAACCCUUGUUCACUGUUGCCAGCACGUUAUGGUGGGGACUCAGUGGAGACCACCGGGGUCAACUCGGAGGAAGGUGGGGAUGACGUCAAGUCCUCAUGCCCCUUAUGUCCAGGGCUUCACGCAUGCUACAAUGGCUGGUACAGAGAGUGGCGAGCCUGUGAGGGUGAGCGAAUCUCGGAAAGCCGGUCUCAGUUCGGAUUGGGGUCUGCAACUCGACCUCAUGAAGUCGGAGUCGCUAGUAAUCGCAGAUCAGCAACGCUGCGGUGAAUACGUUCCCGGGGCU
rnacentral:rRNA from 1 species